GCCUGGAUGGUGGAAUUGGUAGACACUUCAGAUUUAAGCUCUGAUGCCCAUUGCGGGCGUGUGGGUUCGAGUCCCACUCCAGGUA
rnacentral:tRNA from 1 species